rfam:Heligmosomoides polygyrus genome assembly, scaffold: HPBE_scaffold0009972
GCGCCGGUGGUGUAAAGUGAACAUCGCUGCCCGGAAAGCAGAAGAUGCGGGUUCGAGUCCCGCCUUGCGCA